UAAGGAAAAGUAAAGUCUUUUCCCUUCUCUUUUUCUUGCCUAGGUCUAGGCCAGGAGAGAGAUUUUUCUCUUUUUCACAGAAAAAAAAUCAACUGAGUGCAUAGUAGUAUUCAUUAGUCUUUAAUGAAACACUGGGCUUGGGAGUUUAAUAUUCUAAAGAAAUCUUUAUUAAUUUAUAAGAUACAGUUCAUUUAAGAUUAUGGAACUUCUUUUUAAGUGUUUUACAAAGUAAUCAGCUGUGGAAAAAUACUUCCUGAUCAUGUUCGCUCAGUUCCAAAGGUUUGGGUUGUUCCAUUCUUGUGUUGGUCAUAACACUAAGCAGUACAAAGCUACAGCUCCAACUACUGAAAUAUUUUCAUUGUACAGCCUUUUAAGUAGACUAAUUGAUUCAGAAAGUUGCAGUGGUACUUUAUUUUCAUUUUAGUUAGGCUGGGUGAGAUAGAGAACUCGAUAACAAAGUAAGCUGUGAGCAUUCUUAAUCACAUUCUUUCAUUAGUACUGAAACACUGGUGCUUUAUAGGAGAAGUUGUCCUCAUGUGUUUCAGAAAAGAGUAAAUGUGCUUGCUGCAGUGCCUUCACAUUGACCUCUAAUGUGUAAAAUGAUGCUUAUAACCUUCAGCGAAUAUAACUUUGCAAUAUAAUUUGAUCUUUUGUGCUGUGUGCAAUCCCAUUUUUCAGUAUGCAUUUGCCUCUUAAAUGACUACAUUGAUAUGCUGUGGAAAUUUGUGGAAACAUUUGUUCCACUCUCUACAUAAAUUUGUUCCAUACACUGUGUAAAAGUUCCUUCAGAGUUGUAUUGAAGUAAUCACAGGCAGAAUUUCUGUCUGUCAAAUGAGUGUGAAUUUUUAACUUGCUAACAAAAAGACAAGUCACAUUUCAGCUUAUAAAUAUGAGAUAUACUCCUAAACCUUUAGCUGUGAGUUCCUGACACAUACAGUGAGCAAAGACAGCAUCUUACAUUUUUCUAGGAUUUAAAUGUAAUUGAGCAUAGAAACUUUACUCAAAGACUUAAAAAAUAUUGCACGUUAAGUUUAGUACUUUCACAAAGUACUGUGCGCAUAUUUAACCACUGAAAAAAUAUUUUAGAGGUGGGUUAGGAGUUGCAAAUGGCUAAAGUUGAUCAGAAUUAAGAAACUGCAAUAGAAGGGACUUCAGUUGCCAGUGGUGAAAAGCAUUUCUCCAGUGUUGAUCCUUAAAUUGUAAGAGAGUUAGAUAAAGAGUAGGACAGGUGAAAAAAUUAUUUAUUUAGAUUUUCUGCAUUUCAUUCAGUGCUUUGAACACUAUCCAAAGGAGGAAGCAACAGAGAGCUUUGUCUAUGGAUGUCCCAUGGGGAAUGGCAAAGAAGUGAGUCCUGGUUUAGUUCUUGUUGGGUGGAUGUCACCUUAACAAAGCUACCACAGCUGUUGUUCUCAGCCAGCAUUGGUAACUGCUCUGAAGAUCCAUGAGAGCAGAAGUUUUGCUUCUUGCAGUAAUUGAGCUGAAGCUCACUGAAGCCAAUGUCAACCUUCCCAUUGACUUCAGUAGCAUUUGGACCAAAGUUUUGGUUUGAGGCUUCUAGCAGACUGGCUGAGAAAGUAGGAGAAUUAGAGUUUACCAUCUGUGCAGUACAAAAAAAAUGCCUGACUUUCCAGUUGCAUUAAUUUUGAACUUCUCAUAGGCACCUUGUUUUUUAAAUAAUGUCUUUAUUUGAUGUUAUUAUUGAUGGUGGAGUGUAACUUAUGAUAUAUCAUAAUACUGGAAAAUAAAAAUAAUAGCAAAAUAAUUUAAUUAAGAAGAGGCUGUAUGCUAAGAAUGUGAAGGAUUCAGUGUAGGAAACUGGAUUCUUCACUUCAUCAAAAAUAGUUUUACAUAUCCUAGAAAUGUUUCUUAAGUUAUCAGUUACAUUAAAAAGCAGCUUUAAGGUAGAUUGAUAUCAAGGCAUGUCUAUCUGUCAGUUCCACUGAAUUACAGGUAAGAAUAUGCAUUAAUAUUAUUGGCAUCAUGCCAUGGCUGUUCCAGAAUAGCGUUUUUACUGUAACUUGUUUGUGUUCAAAGUUGCAAGUGGACAGCAAGUGAAUUAUUUUCUGUCAGUCAAAGGAAGCAGUUGCAGGCUGCUGGUUGUUCAUGGGAUGGGAUUUCUUGGGAGUUUUUCUGUGUUCUUGUUUGUCUUACUGACUAAGAGAAAACAGAGAAGUUUUUGGCAAGAUAAUCUUGUCUCUGCUUUCUACCUGAGCGUGCCCCAGCCCUUCUAAACCUCACCACAGCACCCCAUCCUGGUGCCAUGACGUCAGCCCGGCUGCUGAGGGGGAAUUGUGUUCCUCCUUAUCCCGGAACAUUUGGGCAGCUCUGCUGGAACAGCCCAGGGCAGGUCGUGUUGACACACUGCUGAUAGACAGGCAGUGGCCUGUGUACUUUGUGACUGUGAGCACUGUGGGUUACAGCCAGCACUGUGCUGAGACUGCCACGGACAGCAAAGUGCAGCUGCAGUCCCUGGGGGUGCUGAGCUCAUUGAGAAGCAGGAGCUGAGGUCCCCUGUGUCUGUCAGAUUUCCACUGCCUGGAAAGAGAGCCUAAGAACAUGAGCUCAGAUGUAGGUGGGUGCCAUCAUUCAUAUGUGUCCCAAUCCGUAAGAAGGUUUGUGCAAGUCAAAAGGCAGUGUACGUUCCAGCUGCCUGAGAAUGAUACAUAUUUUAGUCUCAUCCCACUGACAAUGUAGCCUAAAAUUUAGCUAAAAUCUCUGCAGUUAUUCUUACAAAAUCAGUGUAUCUACUGUCUUGCUAAAACCUAUGUUGGUGUUUAAGCAACACAGGCAUAUUUGGGAGGAAAUUCAGUAACUGGAGGAAAGAUUAAUUUGGUUUUGGUCAUAAAUUUGGCAGAGGAUGGAAAGUCUCCAAGAGGCAAAGUUCACUGCUAGCUUCCAUCACAGGAGUGCUGAGCUGGAUGUGUAUUUGGUCGGGCUCAGUGUAGUCAUUAUUAAUAAUUUAGGAAGGCAGUGAGUAAUAUUGUUGUUGGUCAAACAGUUUUAUAAUUGCAAAUGAGGAGUAAGCAGGUGAAGAUGCAAAUGAAGAAGGGAAGCAAGCAGAAAAGAAGCCAAGGAAUAGAGAGAAGCAUGUUGGAAUGUGGAUGUUUAAAGGACAGAGUGAGAAAUUAAAUCUUUACAAGAGGAGAGCAGAAAUGGAGAUUAGUGAGUUGUAUAUGAUCUGUAGAGAUGUAAAUUUAAGAUUAAAUGGAGUUACCUUUUCUCUUGGAAGAAACAGUCAAUUGUAGCAGCAAACCUGAGAUGUUCAGUGUAUCAGUUUGAGACAUAAGAAAAUGAAGGAAAGUGACUAGAAAGAUUUCAGCAAAGCUCAGUAGUCUCAGGAUGUAGUCAGUCAAUGCCUUACUAAAACUAGGAACAUCUUCCACCAAGCCUCUUCUGAGACCUGGCCACACGUCCCAGCCCAGCUCCUCAGCUGAACACUGGCCCUUAUCUUCAUGGCGUCAAUCCGUAGAUUGUGCAACUCCUUCCAUUUGUUGGAGAUGGCUGUACUCACUGGUCACUAUCCCAGUUCUUACUUUAACAUCUUAAAGGAAGAAAAAAAGGAGGCGAAAAGGAAAUUUAGGAUUAGUCAUCUGUCAUGACUGUUUGGAGAUAGCAGAAUAUUAAUGAAAACAAGAUAUCAAGCUAAAUAUCAUCAAGCAUUUAGGGACCCUCUGUUGGUGGAUCAGCUCUCCAGGCUGGUAUUGGGCCUGGCAUAUCUGAGGAUAUUCCACAGUGAUGGAUGGCUGGCAGCUGGGAAGGUCACACCAAUCCUGGAGCAGAGCUGCCAGCUUUGAAAACAGAGGUUUUAACUGAGAUGACAUAUACCAGUUGCUUCUGAAGUGAGGUCAUCUGGGAUUUCUCACCUCUCAUUUUGAGCUCUGGAUGAAGCUCAGGAUACCAGAUGCUCUCAGUCCUCCUUACCUGUUCCAUCCCAAAGGAUUCAGUUUUGUGGUUUGCACCGUUCCCUUUCAUCAUCACAGGGCCAGUGACUGCUUUGAUUUGCAUUCUGCAUGAAGUAUGUUGGGAUUGAACUUGGCCAAUUAUAUUUUUUUCCAUUGAGCAACAAUAGUAACUCUGCAUGAGAGCUUAAGGAAUAAACUGCACUAAUUACAAAGUAUUAUAAAUUUUGUAUUUAGAAACUUUUUUUCAAAGGGCAGAUACAUCACAGUGACAAGUAAGAGCAGCUGAGAUGUAGUAGUGUGGAAUAACUGAUUACUUCUUGGCAGAAAGAGCAGUGAUUUACUGGUGAGAAAAUUUCUUCCUCUGUUCCUCUGACAAUCACCAAUAAAUUACUAUGUCUUUUCCCCCAACUUUAAAUAUUUACAAGCAUCCCAGGAGAAAAAUGUAUUCUUCAUUCUCUGAACAUACUUUCUGUGUCUUGUAUCAUCACUUACUAAAGGUAUUAUGACACAGUGCUAUUUAGUAUCUCUCAGAACCACAGCUUUAAGCCAUCUCUGUCCUCUGUUUGGCUAUAUCUCAAAUCAGGUGACAUGUUUCUCUUUCCUUUAAAUGUGUCCUGUGGAUGUGUGAUAUUUAGUUGUUAAAUUUACUGGAAAUACAGGGAUGAGUUAAACCGCUGACCUCCUGCAGGAAGCAGCUAUCAUUCAUCUUGCAGUUUGGGACUGUCACAUUUGGUUACUGAACAGCUUUUAAAGCAAACUGCUCCAGACUUGUACUGAGGUGAAACAGAGGGAACAAAAAGUAAUUUCUUCUGUAUGCACCCUGGAAUUUUUGAGGUUUAUAAAUGUGCUAGUACUGCCACUCUCACUUGUUUGCUUAGGUUUCUAAAAUUGGAGUAGUGUUUAAUUUUGACAGAAACUAUGGGGCCAUUUUAAAAUUUGAUUUAGCAUUUUAGUAAAAACUAAGGCCUAGGCUGUAAUUAAUUAUGUCAUUCCAUUUCAUUCAACACUUGUCCUGCUAAUAUUGAAUUCUUUUUAUGUUGCUGUAGUUAUUCAAUGUCCAGUUACUUUUCCCAUUGUUCAUACAACUUUUAGUUUUAAUGUUUUAGAAUGCCAUUCAUUCUUUACAUUGUAACCUACUUUUUAGUGAAAUAAUUUCUAAUCAUAAAUUUCAAACAGAAAUAGGAUAGACAUGCUCUGAUAGGUUAGCAAUUUAGAAAUUUCAUUCUAAUAAAAACAUAAGUAAAAUGAGAUAACAUCUUAAAAUAUUUAAAUACGACUGCAAAUAUUAUAGACUCAGUAUUUCAAAAAUUGGAAAUACUAUGAGAUGCUUCCUAAGUCAGGAUCAAUCUUGCAAUGCAAUCUAAAUCACAUUUUACAGAUUUCUUCCAUAAUUGUGAGCAGUGGAAGCUUAUUGUUGGAAACUGAUACUGUGUUAUUUUAUGUUAUGUUGUAUUUCAUUGCUGGCAAUUACAUUUGAUGAGUUGGCUGCACUAAUUAUUGUGCUAGAAUUGUGGAAUGGUUUGUAUUGGAGGGGACCUUAAGGAUCAUAUAGUUCCAACACCCCUGCCAUGGGGAGAAACAUCUUUAACUUUUCCAGGUUGCUCAAAGUCUCAUCCAGCCUGACCUUGAACACUUCAGGGAUGGGGCAUCCACAGCUCCUCUGGGCAGCCUGAUCCUGUUUCUCACCAUCCCCACAGUACUGAAUUUCUUUCUAAUAUCCAACCUAAACCUGCCCUUUCAGUUUGAAAUAAUUCCUCCUUGUCUUGUCACUUCAUGGCCUUGUAAGAAGUCUUUCUCCAUCUUCUGCUUUGUCCCAAAUCCUCCUUUGAUAGCUGUGAUUUUUUACCUGUGUAAGUGUAGCUUAAAAGAUUUUUAUCUCUCAAAAAGUUUUCAAUUGUGAAACUUUCGACAAGUUACUGUUUGAGGGGUUGGCAGGGAGUGUUAGACAAACUUUUUAAAGAAACUGGAAGCCAGAUUUGUCCUUAGUUAUUUGAAACAGUAAAAUUCAUAUAACAUUACAGAGUCUAUGUAUGUUUCCUUUAACAUGAAAGUCUAUAUUUUUUAUAUGCAGUAGCAAACUUGACAAAACUACAGAGAGUAAUGAAAUGCAAAGCAGCAGGAAGGCACAGGGCUUUCAGUGGAGAGAGUAAUUUGCAAGGAAUACAGCUGGCUUCAGUUUUAGUUUGGCCACAACCUGCAUUCAAGUACACCUGAAUAUUCAUUCUGUGGAAUUCCAAGGUUUUAUAGGAAAUGGACUGCAGAACAAAAUAGUACUCUUCAGUUCUGGCAACACAAGUAUUACCAGUGCAGUUUCAUGCACACUUUAGGGUAGCACAAAGUUCCCCUGAUGCUGGAAAAGCUGCCUGAUGGAUCUGCCUUCUGAUCUGGCAAUUAGUUCUGCUCCUGUGCUGCCCUUGUGCUGCCCUGUCCUCUUCAGGCUGGGAGAACUAAACCCACCUAAAACCAGCCAGAGGUAAAAGAGGCAGGAAUGUGUUGACUCUUCAGGAAUGAACAGUCAGGGCUGUGACCAUGCCACUCUAUGACAUUAAAUGCUCAGGAAGUUGUUAUUUUCCAGUGUUUUUUUUUCCUUCUCUCUAUCUCUACAGAUAAUUGUAUCCUCUUUUUUCCUGAGACAGAGCCACAGUAAAAGCUCCUCAAGGCUACUCAUCAUCAAGGAGAAUUAUAUUCUUGUGUCAUAGAAAGAUUUGAUCCAGGACAGGUAUUUUUUCUUAGAAAAUGAAAGUAGCUGGAGCUGGUAAAGGGGCACAAAUGACUCUAUUAACUUGUCAGGUGUCAGGAGUUCCGGAGAUCGUCAGACCUAGUCACAGUUUCCACCAGCUCUGAAACAUUCUCUGCCACCAGUGUGUUUUUAAAAUAUUAGAUUACAUAUUAUUAUUGUCUCAAACUAUUAGAAUUAUUUUAUUUUGCCCUUUGUCCUUUUAUCUCUUGGUGCUGUGUUAUCCUGGUUAGGUUGCUCUGGUUUCUCCCACCUAGAGUGUUGGUUUCAGAUGUUUGGACAAUGCUGUCAGGCACACAGUGUGAUUCAUGGGGCCAGGACUGGAUUUCUGUGAUUCUUGUGUGUCCCUUCCAGCUCAGGGCAUUUGAAGGCAGAACGAGGGGACAAUCCAGCAUGCAUUACUUCAGCCCUCUGCCCACAGCUCUUUAAGAGCACAAUCCUUGACUGCAGAGCAGGGAUGCAGGGAAAGUGGCCUGAGAAAGCCAAGGAAGCAAUUGUUAAAAUGGUCUCCCAGUGAGAAACAUGGAGUCAAUGAACUCGGUACCUCCUAAAAACAUCUUAGUGCUGCAAGUGGAGCCAUGUACUCCUGAUGAAUCAUGCUGCAUCUGUAGUACAUCCACGUCCCAAUGUGUCACAUCAAUAGGGGAUUCAAAGGGAAUGACAAGUAAAAGCAAGGAGUAACAGUGUGAUGGAAUGUAAGUAACAUUAGUGUCUCUUUUUUUCCCCCCCAUCAUGCUACUUAAGAGGUCUGUGCUUUGAUGUAUAAUACAAAAGGGCAGUAGAGGAGGGAAAUGUGAAGGAUGGGUGGGUGUUAGUGAUGUGCAAAAUAGCAAGCUUGCCUUUAAAUGACUUGGCAAGGACCUAGCUGUGAAAAAAGGCACUGCUGACAACUUGGAAUCCCCCUAAGUGUGAUGUCCCUUCUCCUUGAGCAGUCUUAAAACUGAAAUAGUGACAGGCUUUUAGUUAUGUACAUCUGCCUUCUCAUUAUUGAAAGUAAGUUAGGAAUAUUUAUAUUAAUUGAUAUAAAGAAAAGCUGAAGAAUUGCUUUCGUUUGGAAAGUUAUGUUUCCAUUUAUAAAUAAUGAAGGUCUUUUACUGACAUGUAUACCCAUUUUAAUAAAAUAGAUUAGCAAAUAAGGAGUAUUUGUUGUGAUUUUGUUUUAUUUUUGUUGCAUCAUU